ACUCCUACGGGAGGCAGCAGUGGGGAAUAUUGGACAAUGGGGGCAACCCUGAUCCAGCAAUGCCGCGUGUGUGAAGAAGGCCUUCGGGUUGUAAAGCACUUUUAUCGGGGACGAAAUCCGGAAGGUUAAUACCCGUCCGGGAUGACGGUACCCGAGGAAUAAGCACCGGCUAACUUCGUGCCAGCAGCCGCGGUAAUACGAAGGGUGCAAGCGUUAAUCGGAAUUACUGGGCGUAAAGGGUGCGUAGGCGGUUUGUUAAGUUCGAUGUGAAAGCCCUGGGCUCAACCUGGGAAUGGCAUCGAAGACUGGCAGACUGGAGUGCGGUAGAGGAUGGUGGAAUUCCCGGUGUAGCGGUGAAAUGCGUAGAGAUCGGGAGGAACACCAGUGGCGAAGGCGGCCAUCUGGACCAGCACUGACGCUGAGGCACGAAAGCGUGGGGAGCAAACAGGAUUAGAUACCCUGGUAGUCCACGCCCUAAACGAUGCGAACUGGAUGUUGUGGGCAACUAGGCCCUCAGUAUCGAAGCUAACGCGUUAAGUUCGCCGCCUGGGGAG
rnacentral:rRNA from 1 species